rnacentral:rRNA from 1 species
AUGAACCCUCUCCUCGGCAAGCUCACUAAGCUACUCGGCGAGGAGUACAAGAACCUCACGGGGUGCGGAAGCAGGCCUCCUUCCUGGAGAUGUCCUGAUAUGGAGAACUGCAUAAACGAGUUGAUGCGUGACACUGAAGGUGCCCAUGCAAAGGCAGGAUUAUUAAAGAAGAUGGCUUGGUGUCUCAUGAGUUUGGGUAUACGACAUCAAAUUACCAACUGGAUCGAGGAGGUCAAAGUUCUCAUGGUGGAGAGGUUGACGAUCAACAUGGAGGUAGAAGGUCUUGUUGGUGUUGAUGGCCUAAGAGAAGAGCUUGUCAGUUUGUUGGCAAAUUCUCAGAAGAAACUCAAAGUGGUUUCCAUCAUAGGUUUGGAGGGGGUCAGGAAGCAGGCCUCCUUCCUCAAAAAUGAGCACGACUCCAUGAAAUCUCUCCUUGAGAAGAUCGAUGUAAUGGAUAAGCUUGAUCCCUCGGCAAAAAAUGGAGGGACCAUGUCAGUGAGAUGUCCACAUAUGGAGAACUACAUUAACGACUUGAUGCGUGACACUGAAACAUGGGCCUACACAAAUGGGGCUUUGUAA